UACGUAGGGGGCGAGCGUUGUCCGGAAUGACUGGGCGUAAAGGGCGCGUAGGUGGCCUUUCAAGUCUGGAGUGAAAGUCCUGCUUUUAAGGUGGGAAUGGCUUUGGAAACUGAGAGGCUUGAGUGCGGGAGAGGAUAGCGGAAUUCCCGGUGUAGCGGUGAAAUGCGUAGAGAUCGGGAGGAACACCAGUGGCGAAGGCGGCUAUCUGGACCAAGACUGACACUGAGGCGCGAAAGCGUGGGUAGCAAACAGGAUUAGAUACCCUGGUAGUCCACGCUGUAAACGAUGGAUGCUAGGUGUAGGAGGUAUCGACCCCUUCUGUGCCGGAGUAAACGCAAUAAGCAUCCCGCCUGGGGAGUACGGCCGCAAGGUUGAA
rnacentral:rRNA from 1 species